UCAUUGAUCACAAGGCACAGACCUCCUUGGCAGCUUUCGAUGAGCUCUUCAAGGCCCACUUCAUCUUCAGUAUCAACUACCAUGAAUCCCUCUACAACUUCUAUACGUUCAUCCAAACCACUGUUUUUAACAUUGAUGUGAGCCAAGGAAAGUCCCAGAGUCAGGGAGCUAAGAGCAAGAUUUUUGCACGACGCUUGAGAGAUGCUGCUUUGACUGAUGCUGCUGACAAUGUGGAGACUCAGAAUGAAGUUGUUGCAAGCAUCUGGUGUUGCUGAGAGCACAGUCCAAGCAAUGGUUGCUUCCAUGGAGGAACUUGUUCAUGACAUUCAUAGGGAAGUAAGAGAGGCAAUUCUUGGCUGUACUUCAGAAAUUCAAGGCACAGAUUUGGAAAAGAAAAUGGAAAAAGGUUUUGAUCCUUUUUCAACCUUGAACACUAGAGUCAAAAGACAGAAGUUCUUUGGGGAAAAGUGUGAAAUUGUUGAACCUGUUGAGUUUGUUCUUGGGGUGCGGUUUGAUGUUGGCAGAGAUCAAACAACAGGACUUUCCAGUCAGGUCCCUGGAACAGAUAAAUGUGUGUUUACAUCCAUACUAGGAACUCUUAAGUCUAUGUUCAGGAAUGCUGAAUUAUGGGAAAGUUUUUUCAAAGGCAA